AUUGAACGCUGGCGGCAUGCUUUACACAUGCAAGUCGAACGGUAACAGGCCGCAAGGUGCUGACGAGUGGCGAACGGGUGAGUAAUGCAUCGGAACGUGCCCAGUCGUGGGGGAUAACGCAGCGAAAGCUGCGCUAAUACCGCAUACGAUCUAUGGAUGAAAGCGGGGGACCGAAAGGCCUCGCGCGAUUGGAGCGGCCGAUGUCAGAUUAGGUAGUUGGCGGGGUAAAGGCCCACCAAGCCAACGAUCUGUAGCUGGUCUGAGAGGACGACCAGCCACACCGGGACUGAGACACGGCCCAGACUCCUACGGGAGGCAGCAGUGGGGAAUUUUGGACAAUGGGCGCAAGCCUGAUCCAGCAAUGCCGCGUGCAGGAAGAAGGCCUUCGGGUUGUAAACUGCUUUUGUACGGAACGAAACGGUCCGGGUUAAUACCCUGGGCUAAUGACGGUACCGUAAGAAUAAGCACCGGCUAACUACGUGCCAGCCGCCGCUGUAACAC
rnacentral:rRNA from 1 species